AGGAAGAGUUUAAAGACAGAACAAGUCUGACUUGGCCUCUCAACCCCCAGAGGUCAGGAAGCUGAGGGAGCAGCGUGCGCUGCCCGGUCGCCCCUGUGGCAACACCCUGUGACCCUCAGAGCAAUGGGAGCAGUCCGCCCGGCCGCGGUGGCUUCCGAGAGCGCCCAAGCCGGCCUCACUCGCUCCUCCCCCGGACGUCGAGGGUACAAACUGGGAGCAGGAGAGGAAGCGACGCUGGCGGCGGGAGGCUGUGUGUCCCGAGGAGCGAGUGUGUGGGGAGCGAGCUCAGAAGCCGAGAGCGGCUGACGAGGCGCUGCCAGCCGACCAUCAGGGCGGCCAACUCGACGCCCCGGAACGGCUUCCGGCGGAAAGGACUCUCCGUUAGGCCGGGAUCCGAUCCUACCGGAAGAGUUUUACCCCUUCUUGCUUGCUGGCUGUGGUACUGAGGAAAAGCUAUGAUUGGAUGGAGUGUGCUUUUUUUCUAGAAGAUUCCAUGAAGCUUCCCAGCAACUCUUUCAUUUCCUCCUCGUUACUGUCUGGAACAUCCAGUUUUCUAUUAAAUACUUGGACUUUAUCCCCUGAGAUGUAUCUACUUAUCAAGACAAGUUCUGCAGGAGAAAUAUCUAAAUCAACCUCCAAUAUUAGUGGGACCAGAAAGUCUGAUGGAACGGAGGGAAAGUUGUAAACCUGAAGGCUCUACUGACUGGGCUGUGCUCCUCCACAGUUUCCUACCACCCAGAGCCGAGUACACCUUAACACAAGAAUUGAAACUGAACCAACAGUGGGUCAGGAAGUCCAGAUUUAGUGUACAUUCAUAAAUAUUUGUCACUGUUUGUAGAAAAAUAAAAAUAUGACCGAUUCUAAGUUAA